GACGAACGCUGGCGGCGAGCUUAACACAUGCAAGUCGAACGGAAAGGCCCUGCUUGCAGGGUACUCGAGUGGCGAACGGGUGAGUAACACGUGGGUGAUCUGCCCUGCACUUCGGGAUAAGCCUGGGAAACUGGGUCUAAUACCGGAUAGGAGCCAUUUUUAGUGUGAUGGUUGGAAAGUUUUUUCGGUGUAGGAUGAGCUCGCGGCCUAUCAGCUUGUUGGUGGGGUAAUGGCCUACCAAGGCGGCGACGGGUAGCCGGCCUGAGAGGGUGGACGGCCACAUUGGGACUGAGAUACGGCCCAGACUCCUACGGGAGGCAGCAGUGGGGAAUAUUGCACAAUGGGCGCAAGCCUGAUGCAGCGACGCCGCGUGGGGGAUGACGGCCUUCGGGUUGUAAACUCCUUUCGCUAGGGACGAAGCUUUUUGUGACGGUACCUAGAUAAGAAGCACCGGCUAACUACGUG
rnacentral:rRNA from 1 species